rnacentral:lncRNA from 1 species
UUUAAUAUAAUAAAAUCUCCUUCUAAUCCGGUUAUUUUGGGAUUAUCAUGGCUAGAAAAAUAUAACCUUCAAAUAGAUUGGAUUUCUCGUAACCUUAACUUUCUUAAUAGUAUAAUCUAAGUUUGCAUUAGUAAAGUAGAAGUAUGUAAGUCCACAAUAUGUCCAAACCUUUACUAAUAGAUUGUCACGGACACAAAAUAUAGACUUGAAAUCUAACAAGAAGUUCAAGAAGAAGUGGCAAAACUAGAUUAAACAGAUGAGUACAAGAACAACACCAGAAAGGUGAGCUAGAAUUCUAAGAGAUGUG